AAUUUUCAAACUCGCUCCCGCUUCUGAGUCUUUUUCCGUACGAAAGAGA
rnacentral:sRNA from 1 species